GCCCUGCUACGCCCACAGUGGCCGGCCGACGCUUGGGAGAAGCCGGGCGGUGGCGCGGCCGUGCGUCGGUGGCAGCCCCCUCACGUCAGUGUGCGCAUGCGCGCUGCCCUAUCAAACGAGGCGCGUCGCGGGCCCCGCGCCUGCGCCCCGGCGUCCUCGCGGGCCCGGCGCGCGCCCCUCGCCUCGCGCCCUCGGUCACAGUGGGGCCCGGUCCGGUCCGGGUCCCGGUGAGACCCCGGCCCAGGCCGCGCCCCGUGGCCGUCUCCGCGCCCUCGCGACAGUCUGGAGGAGGAGGAGCAGGAGGAGGCCCGAGUGUCGCCCGUCAAUGCAUCACCGCGAGGCAGCCCAGGAUGAAGAAGGCGAGCAGGACCGCCACCUCAGCGCCCAAGCCGCCGGGGACAGCUAAGAGCAAGCUGGACGGCCCCACGGGGGCCAAGCUCCCCAAGUCCGGCUCAAGCUUGCUGACCAAGGCCAAAAGCAACGAUGACCUCCUGGCUGGCGUGGCUGGAGGGGCCCCAGGGACAAGCAGCAUGAGAGGGAAGAAGCCCUGCCCGGCGGCAACCCCUGCCCCCAGCGUCCUCGCCGCGAGCGCCGCCGAGGGCAAGCCCAAGCCCGGCGCAGGUCCUGGCGCCCUCCCUCCCUCGCGGCCCCGUGGUUGGGGGGCUCCCCUUGGCCUCGGUCUGGGGGGGCUGGUUUGGGGGCCAAGGCCUUUCUCCAGCCUGGGCCUGUGGGGCAGACACAGCUCCCCACUCCCAGAGUCCAUGGCCCCCAGCCUCAGGCUUCCCCAUGGAGGAGGCGGGGCUGACUCAGAGCCAUUGUCUCCCUCUGGGAGCGUGUCUGGUCGUCAGGGAAUUUGCUCUUCUGUCCAGCGCGGCCUGAGAGAACAAGGCCCGUGCCUGGCCCUGGCGGGACAGAGCGUGCACACCCCCUCUUCCCCCCUCCCGCCCCCGCUCCCCGCCCCGGGGUCCAGUUUUGUGCCCCCUGUUGGAGGCUUUGGAGCCCAGAGCCCUCGGGUCGGGAGGAAGCUUGGAGCUUGGCUCUCCUGGGAGCUCACCCCGACUUCUCAGAGGAGGAAGCUGAAGAAGCUGGGGGUGGGGGUGGAGGGGCAUCCGGUCCGGCCUCCCCUGCCCAGCCUGGCCCAGAGCCUCACCCUUGAUCCCCCUCCUGAAAGGCCCUCCGAGGGCCCGCUCUGGGAAGCCCUCCCUGCUCUCGGAGAUGGCAACCGGGGAGUCUCUUCACCCUUUAGGGCUUCCUGAGUUUGCCCCAUUGUCUGGUCGGAGGGGAGUCACCCCCCCCAAAGAGCCGCUCUGCUCCUUCUAGUUAAGGGCACCUGGGGAGCCCGGAACAUGGGGUGAAAGCCCUGUUUUCUCUGUCCCCACAGGGGCCAACUCCAAAAGAAACACGUCCAUAGCAGGGCAAGAGCCCGGCUCGCCGAGGCAGCUUGAGGCAGCUCCA
rnacentral:lncRNA from 1 species